GGAUACCACCCCUGUAGUACUGGGACUCUAACCAGAGGCCUUGAAUCAGGUCUUGGGACACUGUCAGGCGGGCAGUUUGACUGGGGCGGUCGCCUCCCAAAAGGUAACGGAGGCGCUCAAAGGUUCUCUCAGCACGGUCGGAAAUCGUGCAUAGAGUGUAAAGGCAUAAGAGAGCUUGAUUGCAAGACAUACAGGUCGAGCAAGGACGAAAGUCGGACUUAGUGAUCCGGUGGUUCUGAGUGGAAGGG
rnacentral:rRNA from 1 species